UACGGGGGGGGGCAAGCGUUGUUCGGAAUUACUGGGCGUAAAGGGCUCGUAGGUGGCCAACUAAGUCAGACGUGAAAUCCCUCGGCUUAACCGGGGAACUGCGUCUGAUACUGGAUGGCUUGAGAUUGGGAGAGGGAUGCGGAAUUCCAGGUGUAGCGGUGAAAUGCGCAGAUAUCAGGAGGAACACCGAUUGCGAAGGCAGCUCGCUGGAACGUUACUGACGCUGAGACGCGAAAGCGUGGGGAGCAAACAGG
rnacentral:rRNA from 1 species